GACGAACGCUGGCGGCGUGCUUAACACAUGCAAGUCGAACGGUAAGGCCCUUCGGGGUACACGAGUGGCGAACGGGUGAGUAACACGUGGGUGAUCUGCCCUGCACUUCGGGAUAAGCCUGGGAAACUGGGUCUAAUACCGGAUAGGACUCCGGACUGCAUGGUCUGGGGUGGAAAGCUUUUGCGGUGUGGGAUGGGCCCGCGGCCUAUCAGCUUGUUGGUGGGGUGAUGGCCUACCAAGGCAACGACGGGUAGCCGGCCUGAGAGGGUGACCGGCCACACUGGGACUGAGAUACGGCCCAGACUCCUACGGGAGGCAGCAGUGGGGAAUAUUGCACAAUGGGCGCAAGCCUGAUGCAGCGACGCCGCGUGAGGGAUGACGGCCUUCGGGUUGUAAACCUCUUUCAGCACAGACGAAGCGCAAGUGACGGUAUGUGCAGAAGAAGGACCGGCCAACUACGUGCCAGCAGCCGCAGUAA
rnacentral:rRNA from 1 species